GGAGAGGGAGAAGCAGGCCUCCCGCGGAGCAGGGAGCCCGAUGCGGGGCUCGAUCCCAGGACCCUGUGAUCAUGACCCGAGCCGAAGACAGACGCUUAACGACUGAGCCACCCAGGCACCCCAAAUAAAAUCUUUUAAAAUAAAUAAACUUAAAAAACUAGUAAAAUAAAUUGAGGAGUAAGCCAGUUAGCUUUGUGCUUUUGGAAGAUCAUUUGGCCACCGUGGGAAAAGAGGGGCGUGGACAGUGGAGCCUGGGGAUGGGGGAGAAAGAUGAGCCAUGAGAGGAGCCCAGGGUGGUGGGCGUGAGGCCUGCGCUCAGGGAAUCUGUGUGAGCGAUGUGUAGGACACGGCAGGACUUUGAGACUGGGUGUGGUAGUGGGGAAGCGGGCAGGUGGGGAGAAUUUCUAAAGUGGCCCCCCAGAGAGGUCCUGCCCUAAACCCCAGAACGUAUGAGUGCUGGGGUAUCCCCUGCUGUGAGCAUGUUAUUUGGAACCCUGACUGUCCUGGAUUAUCCAGGCUGGAAAGCAGAGCACUUCUUUGGCUGGUGGCAGCGGGACAGCCAGAGCUUAGAAACCGGCUGUGAAGAUGGGAGCCCUGGGCAAGGACCGAAGAGGAGCUGCAAGGAGCUGGAGGGACCCCGGCGAGGAGGAAGGGGGAACCCACUCCAGCGGGUUCCCAUAAGGCACUGAAUCCUGCCAACAACAGGAACGAGCUUGGAAGAGGAGCCUGAGUGCCAGCUGUUCCUCCCGAAAAGGUUAAAGAAUAAAUGGAAGAAGGUAUUGUUUCAUACUUUAAUGAAAGUGCUUCAGGAAGAUGACAUUUGGAUUGUUUUUUAAACUCCACACCCAAUAUGGGGCUUGAACUCAUGAUCCUGAGAUUAAGAUCUGAUAUGAGCUCAAGAGUUGGACGCUCAACGGACUGAGCCACCAAGGUGCCCCUACUCACUAGCAUUCUUGAAUCAAUAUUCAUAACUGAACUCCGCCUAUGGUUUUCUUAUAUUGGGCAUAUUGUCUGAUGCCUGAGUUGACCUCCAUGCAGAGGUGUGGAGGCCGCUCCAGGACCUUCUGCAUCUGGAGCUUGUGAGGAAGGGCCAGACUGGAGAGACAGGUUGGUGAGUCUUUCACAUAUAGGCAAUAUCUUGUGCUGAAACAUGGAUAAACCUGGAAAACAUCAUGCUAAGUGAAAGAAGCCAGACACAAAAGGCCACAUAUAUGAUUCCAUUUAAAGAUUUUUUUUUUUAAGAUUUUAUUUAUUUGACACAGAGAGAGAGACAGCGAGAGAGAGAACACAAGCAGGGGGAGUGGAAGAGGGAGAAGCAGGCUUCCUGCUGAGCAGAGAGCCCAAUGUUGGGUCUCGAUUCCAGGACCCUGGGAUCAUGACCUGAGUCGAAGGCAGACGCUUACGACUGAGCCACCCAGGCGCCCCUAAAGAUUUUCUUUAUGACAGAGAGAGAGAGAGAGAGAGACAGCACAAGCAGGGGAGAGGGAGAAGCAGGACCCUGGGAUCGUGAUCUGAGCGGAAGGCAGACACUUAACCGACUGAGCCACCCAGGCGUCUCUAUGAUUCCAUUUCUAAAAACUGUCUAGAAUAUGUAAAUCUAGAGAGACAGAAAGUAGAUUAGUGGUUG